UCAAUUCUUCUAGUGGGCCAGAUCGAUUGAUAUAUACAUAAUUGUUACAUAAUAUUUAUAUUUACUUUCAAGAAUUUGUGAGUUGGGAAAGUCAGAAAUUGUUGCAAGCUGAAGAUGCAACUAGAUUGCAUUUUGAAUUAUGUUUAUAUUUUGUUAUUUUAAAUGCAAAUUUGAAGAAAUGUCUUGUACUCUUUCACUAUAGAAAUAGAAAUAUAAAUAUAUUUAAAAUUAUAAGACAAUAAUUAUUUUCUUGUUUAUUU
rnacentral:lncRNA from 1 species